rnacentral:lncRNA from 1 species
GUUUGGGAGAAACUACAGGGGCUUGGAAAUAAUGCUUUAUAAAAGGGAAGGAUACAGUGCAGAUUCCAAAUGGAGAACUGUAAGAGCCCUCUAGGGGGCUUCUGAACUAACCAGGGUCAAUGGCGUUUUCAUGCCAGACUGGUAUAUGAGGUCCUUUUGCUUUUCCCUACGCAUUUACUGCCAGUUGACACUUUGGUUAAUUCAGCCACUAAUUUGAUGGCCUUAGCCCCCUCUUAAUUUGGCAUCUGUAAAAUGGGAGUAAUUUUAACCAAGCUUGGGGUAUGUGUGUGUUAGAGGACAAACAAGCUGAUGUUUAUGAAGCAUGUUAAUGCAUUAGGUACCCCUGCCCGUACGGGCCAGUUGUGUCCGACUCUAGGGUUGUGCGCCCAUCUCACUUAAGAGGCCGGGGGCCAGCGCUGUUCGGAGACACUUCCAGGUCACGUGGCCAGCGUGACGAAGCUGCUCUGGCGAGCCAGCACCAGCGCAGCACACGGAAACGCCGUUCACCUUCCCGCUAUAAAGCGGUACCUAUUUAUCUACUUGCACUUAAGGGUGCUUUCAAACUGCUAGGUGGGCAGGAGCUGGGACCGAAAGACGGGAGCUCACUCCGCCGCGGGGAUUCGAACCGCCGACCAUACGAUCGGCAAGUCCUAGGCACUGAGGUUUUACCCACAGCGCCACCCGUGUGUAAUGUUAAUGCAUUACAACUGCUGAAUAAAUGAGGACAGUAAUGGCCACCAACGUAUGUGGGACUGACAUGGGUUAGAUGGUUGGUAAUUUUUCUUGGGCCAUUGCUGUAGGAAUUCUUGCAUAGUAUGUGGCCUUUAAAUGCUCUUUUGAUGAUGUGGACUGAGAGCCUGUAGUGUCAAUGCAAGAGGAGCUAUCAUACAAGAUUAUUUAAAGGCACACAACUCUUCACGAGAAUAAGCAUUCAUGCAUUAAAUUAGCCAUACUACCAGUGCUAUUUUUAUGGGGGUAUGCAGGGGUACACAUACCACUAAACAUUUUGUGACCCUAAGUUUGGCUUCAUUGAGGGACAGUAUUUCAAUAUGAGUAGGAAAAUGAGAGUACCCCUUAACAUUUUUUUUAAGGAAUGUUUGUUCUUAAAUAACUCCUUUCUACUCAGGUGAAGGUGCAGUAUUUCUGCACCCAUUUUAAGCACCUAGUUGUCAAUAAGGCAAUAUAUUUUUUAAUAACUGGGAAGGGGAAAGCUAUGUAUGUGACGAUACUAAUUCAGACAAGCUUCUUUUCUUUUGUUUGGCAGUUUGAAUAUAGCUUUAGUACUUGGGAAAAAUCCUCUUCCAAUUACACAGCAGUUUUGUGGUGGCAGAAUGCUAUAAUGGGAAUGCUUUUGCAGCCAAAGCUAUCUCAUUCAUAAAUCCUGCUGAUCCACUCUAUAAUUUUGAUUCUCUUUUGGAUAGAUCAGUAUUCUGUGGUCAUAUCAGCAACAAUCAUGCAAGCAAAAAUGAGUAGUUAAAUAUUGUGACAGUCCUAUAAGUCUUCUUACGGUUUUGUGCAUAACACAGUUAUUCAAAAGUGUCAUUUGGUAUGUAGAAGGGAAUUGACCCUUCACUAAUAUUUUCCAGUAAAGCUCUUCAUAAAAAAUGACUGGAGAAAUAGCUAUGUGAGAAUUGGCUAGGUGUCCUUUCCAUUAAUUUUGCAGUAAAUGCAAACUGCUGGGUCAUGUUUAAGGGCAAUUGAAUGCAUAUUACAAACACACACACACACACACACACACACACACACACACACACACACACACACACACUCUGCAUGUGAAUAUCCUAUACACAUACUUUAUCCUUACAUGUGUUCUUGCUUUGUAUACUCUUAUGGGAGUAUUUCUAGCAACUGUGGGAGAAGUUCUAGCAACCCAAACAAUAUUUGUUGCAGGGUUUAUUAGCAUAACAAAAUAAAUAACAUCCAGGCUGCAUUCAGUACACAUCAUGAACUUCUUAUACUUCGAUUUUGGCAAAGUUUAUCCAAAUAACGAUUUGACCCAGCUGUGAAUGGGAGCACUGGGAGCCCAGGCAGUUCUAGGAAUACAGUGGUACCUUGCAAGACGAAUGCCUCGCAAGACAAAAAACUCGCUAGACGAAAGGGUUUUUAGUUUUUUGAGUUGCUUCGCAAGACGAUUUUCCCUAUGGGCUUGCUUCGCAAGACGGAAACGUCUUGCAAGUUUGUUUCCUUUUCUUAACACCGUUAAUACAGUUGCGACUUGACUUCGAGGAGCAACUCAUAGAACGUGGUGUGGUAGCCUUUUUUGAGGUUUUUAAAGACUUUGGUGAUUUUUGAAGCUUUUCCAAAACUUUCCCAACACCGUGCUUCGCAAGACAAAAAAAAUCGCAAGACGACAAAACUCGCGGAACGAAUUAAUUUUGUCUUGCGAGGCACCACUGUAAUAGAAUUAGAAUUGGAAGGGACCCCUUAGGUCAUCUAGCCCAACUCCCUGCAAUGCAGGAAUCUCAACUAGAUCAUACUUGACAGAUGGCCAUACAACUUCUGCUUAGAAACCUCCAAGGAAGGAGAGCCCACCACCUUCCAAAAGAGUCCGUUCCACUGUCAAACAGCUCUUCCUAUCAGAAAGUUCUUCCCCAUGAUUAGUCAGAAUCUCCUUUUUUGCAACCUCAAGCCAUUGGUUCAUAUCCUACCCUCCAGAGCAGAAGAAAACAAGCUUGCCCCGUCCUCUGUGUGACAGCCCUUUAGAUAUUUGAAGUUGGCUAUUGUAUCUCUUCACACUCUCCUCUUUAUCAGGCUAGACGUAACCUAUUCCCUCAACUGUUCCUCAUCAGGCUUGAUGCUUUCCAGACCAGACACAUUUCCCUAUGUUUACAUCACUGAAUAACUCCUACAGUCCAUGUCUAUUGGUUGAGUGAGUGAAUGGAUGUAUUUAUUUAUCAUACAGGCCAUAUUGUAUUCCAUGUCAAUCAAGGUAACACAGCACACACUGAUUCAAUGACUUUGUGAAUGGACAGAAUAAACUGAUUAUAAAGUUACAAUCCCUUUGUCUAAAGAAAUGUGAUUUAUGAAUUAUAUAUGUUAACCACUACUUCUAAAGAAGAACAUGACUCCCUGCUUUCUGUUCUGUGAGCAUCAAGGAAUAUGUCAACUACAGAUGGGAAAUUGGUUGGGAUGGCCUAAUAAUGUUUGUGCUAUAAUAAUAUUUUCUUUCAAGGAGGCUUGAUAGGUAGGCUGUGCUUCAUGCUGAAGAUUUAACUGAAUGACUAAUUUCCCCUCAGGUCAAUUGAGCCAAUGAUAUAAAGUUGUUGUUGUUUUUGCAAUGUCUUGUUUUCUUUCCUGGCUGAGAUGGAGAUGCACCUUUUUAACUUUAACUCUUGUUAUGCUUCUAGCUUUGAUUUUAUGACUAGCAAACUGAUACCUAUGUUUGUUUACUUGGAAGUAAGUUCUUUGUUCAGUGGAACCUUUCCCCCAGGAAAUAAAGUUUAGGAUUGCAGCUUAAAUCUAUGACAGGUGAAGAGUGAGGGGAUUUGAAUCGGUGAUGUUAUGGUGAUCUCCAAGCUGGUUUUGUCUUAGUUGCACUUCAGUCCAUUUUGCCCAUUAAAAACUUACAUAAUUCCAGAAUCUGAAGUUGCUUGGCAGAAGAUGCAGCUUUCAUUUGGGGUUUUUUAAAAAGUUGAUCUUUACUAUUUUCUCUUCAUCCAAAAGCCUGCCAGAAGAGGUGUGUCUUCACCUGAGAAACACUAUUUAUAAUAGUGUAUAUAGCUAGUAAUAUACUGAGUGUAAUGAAGCAUGCAAGUAUGCACACAGAUGCCAUCAAUAUCAGAGUAUUCAGGACACAUGUAAAUAAGAGUAAUAUUCACAGAUAUACAAAAAGGUGUUUCAGAAUAUGUUUCCUCAAAAUUUCUGCCUACUGUAAAUACACAGAGCACAGAAGCAAAUAAGUGGAUGCACUUUAUGAACAUUCCACCCUCCUGAAAAACACAUCGCUUUGGGGGAAGUUUUUAAGGGAAACACAUAAGGAGUUCCCUUUAUGCAAAAAUAUGCCUGGACACAUUUUAUUUAGAAACUGAAUUAAUUAAUUUAAUAGAAAAAGGCCUGGGCACUGCAUGAAUGGAGUUCUGCUUGCACAAAGGCCCUUUCCCUUUGCCUUGUCCGCUGUGUCCCCCAACUCUCUGGAGGGUGGGCAAUAGGCAAGAGGAGAAGAGGGGGAAGUUCCACAGCACAAGCAGAAGUCUGAUGAGCAAGUGAAACAGUGGUGUUGGAUACAAUCCAUGAAAAACAGGCGUACCACACAGUAACUUUGAACCCAUUAUUUCAAUGCAACUCACAAUAAAUGCCUCUUCAUCAAACUAUUCAUAAAUUAUGUCAGUUGCAGUUGACACCAUCCAAAGACCCUGCUGGAAGAGGUGUGUCUUUGCAUGAGAAAUGCUUUAAUAGUGUAUGCAGUUCUGACUACCUUAUCUUUAAAAAAAUGGUUAUUACAGAGCUGGGUUUGGUCAGUGAGCCUGAGCAAGAGAAAGGAUCAGAGGUUAGGUUAUGACUGAAUAAAAUCAUCAAUGCUUAAAAUAAGAAAGCUGCUUUG